rnacentral:rRNA from 1 species
UAGGGAAUAUUAGAAAUGGACGAAAGUCUGAUCUAGCAACACCGCGUGUGCGAAGAAGGCCUUCGGGUCGUGAAGCACUUUUUGGAAGGAAUAGGAAGGAAUGUACUUCCAGAAUAAGUCUCGGCUAACUACGUGCCAGCAGCCGCGGUAACACGUAGGAGGUGAACGUUAUCCGGAUUUACUGGGCGUAAAGCGCGUGUAGGUGGUUCUGUAAGUAUGGCGUGAAAGCUCCUGGCUCAACUGGGAGAGGCCGUUCUAAACUACAGAACUAGAGGAUGGUAGAGGGAGGUGGAAUUCCAGGUGUAGCGGUGGAAUGCGCAGAUAUCUGGAGGAACACCAGUGGCGAAGGCGGCCUCCUGGACCACUCCUGACACUCAGACGUGAAAGCUAGGGUAGCAAACG